GAUGAACGCUAGCUACAGGCUUAACACAUGCAAGUCGAGGGGCAGCAUGAACUUAGCUUGCUUAAGUUUGAUGGCGACCGGCGCACGGGUGAGUAACGCGUAUCCAACCUGCCCCGAGGUCAGGGACAGCCCGGCGAAAGUCGGAUUAAUACCCUAUGUUGUUCGAAGAGGACAUCUGAUUUGAACCAAAGACUUGUCGCUAAGGGAUGGGGAUGCGUCUGAUUAGGUUGUUGGCGGGGUAACGGCCCACCAAGCCAUCAAUCAGUAGGGGUUCUGAGAGGAAGGUCCCCCACAUUGGAACUGAGACACGGUCCAAACUCC
rnacentral:rRNA from 1 species